AUGGAAUUGAGGUUGCCUCAUCUGCUUCAUCUUUUUAAUGUCUUUCGUGAAAAUGAUGGAAAGAAAAAUUGUGCCCAAGUGCUAGAAGAAGAAUGCAUUAGAAUGUUUGUCACUAAAUUUUUGUAUGAUGAGCAUGAUUGCAAUGUUGUUAGUAUGAAUUCCUUGAAUAUCCAUGAUGCUAAUGAUAUGCAAAGCCACAAGCUUGGGGAUGCUAUGUUUGAUGAAGAUGAUAUUUUUAGUCCCCCAAGUUUUGAUGAGAAAAUAUAUUAUGAUGAUAGCAUGCCUCCUAUUUAUGAUGAUUAUAUUGAUGAAAGUGGGUUUGAAAGAGUGUCAACUUUAGGAAGUCAUGAUCCCACUAUUUUGGAGGGUGUUGAAUCAUAUUGUGAUAAUUAUGAAAGUGGAUUUGGAGAGGUCAUGACUUUAUUUAGUGAUGAAUCCACUAUUUCGGAAGAGGUUCCAAUUGAUUAUGAGAACAAAGUUGCUAUCUAUGAUGAUUAUUGUGAUGACUUGCAUGCUAUUAAGAAUAAUGAUAACCAUAAAACUUGUCAUCAUGAUUUUAGUUUUCAAUUGGAUUAUGCCUCACAUGAUAAUUAUUUUGUUGAGUUUGCUUCCACUAUUAUUCAUGAGAAGAAAUUCACUUAUGUGGAGAGUAAUAAAAUUUAUAUGCUUGGGUAUCAUGAAAAGAAUGCUUUAUGUGAUGGUUAUUGUUGGGGAUAUGACUAUCAGAUAUGA
rnacentral:rRNA from 1 species